UACGAAGGGGGCGAGCGUUGUUCGGAUUUACUGGGCGUAAAGGGCGCGCAGGCGGCGCAUUUUGUCAGGCGUGAAAGCCCCGGGCUUAACCUGGGAACUGCGUUUGAUACGGAUGGGCUAGAGUUCGGGAGAGGAGAGUGGAAUUCCCAGUGUAGAGGUGAAAUUCGUAGAUAUUGGGAAGAACACCGGUGGCGAAGGCGACUUCCUGGCCUGUUCUUGACGCUGAGGCGCGAAAGCUAGGGGAGCAAACGGG
rnacentral:rRNA from 1 species